rnacentral:rRNA from 1 species
UACGUAGGGGGCUAGCGUUGUCCGGAAUCAUUGGGCGUAAAGCGCGUGUAGGCGGCCCGAUAAGUCCGCUGUGAAAGUCCAGGGCUCAACCCUGGGAUGCCGGUGGAUACUGUCGGGCUCGAGUCCGGAAGAGGCGAGUGGAAUUCCUGGUGUAGCGGUGGAAUGCGCAGAUAUCAGGAGGAACACCAAUAGCGAAGGCAGCUCGCUGGGACGUUACUGACGCUGAGGCGCGAAAGCGUGGGGAGCGAACAGG